UACGUAGGGUGCGAGCGUUAAUCGGAAUUACUGGGCGUAAAGCGUGCGCAGGCGGUUCGUUAGGUCCGAUGUGAAAGCCCCGAGCUCAACUUGGGAAUGGCAUUGGAAACUGGCGGGCUGGAGUGUGGCAGAGGGGGGUGGAAUUCCACGUGUAGCAGUGAAAUGCGUAGAGAUGUGGAGGAACACCGAUGGCGAAGGCAGCCCCCUGGGCCAACACUGACGCUCAGGCACGAAAGCGUGGGGAGCAAACAGG
rnacentral:rRNA from 1 species